rnacentral:rRNA from 1 species
CAUAUCAAUAAGCGGAGGAAAAGAAACCAACAGGGAUUGCCUUAGUAGCGGCGAGUGAAGCGGCAAGAGCUCAAAUUUGAAAUCUGGUAUCUUCGAUGCCCGAGUUGUAAUUUGAAGAAAACAAUCUUGGAAUUGGUCCUUGUCUAUGUUCCUUGGAACAGGACGUCACAGAGGGUGAGAAUCCCGUGCGACAAGGAAUUCUUUUCUUUAUAAGAUGUUUUCGAAGAGUCGAGUUGUUUGGGAAUGCAGCUCAAAGUGGGUGGUAAAUUCCAUCUAAAGCUAAAUAUUGGCGAGAGACCGAUAGCGAACAAGUACUGUGAAGGAAAGAUGAAAAGAACUUUGAAAAGAGAGUGAAAAAGUACGUGAAAUUGUUGAAAGGGAAGGGUAUUCGAUCAGACUGGUAUUUAGUUAUCAUUGCUCCUUGUGGGUGGUGCUCUAGCUUUUUACUGGGCCAACAUCAGUUUUGGUGGUAAGAUAAUCGCAGUUGAAUGUGGCUCCUUUUGGAGUGUUAUAGCUUCUGUUGAUGUUACCUACCGGGACUGAGGUCUGCGGCUUUGCCUAGGAUGUUGGCGUAAUGAUCCAAUACCGC